rnacentral:rRNA from 1 species
GAGUCGGACCUGCCCAGUGACUAAUAUGUUAAACGGCCGCGGUACCCUAACCGUGCAAAGGUAGCAUAAUCAUUUGCCUUUUAAUUGGAGGCUUGUAUGAAUGGUUUGACGAGAGCUAAGCUGUCUCUUUUGAAUUAUAUAAAAAUUAACUUUUAAGUGAAGAGGCUUAAAUUUAUUUAAGGGACAAGAAGACCCUGUUGAGCUUCAGUAAAGUUAUAGAUAGGUAGGUUAUUAAGAUAGUCUUAUUAUAUAUAGGUAUAUAGUAAAAUUCUGUAGCUAAUCUUUAGUUGGGGCGACUGAGGAACAUUAAAAGCUUCCUUUAAUAAGAUAUUAGAUAGUAUUUGCUUUCUAGUUCGAAUUGAUCCGAUAUUUGUCGAUUAAGGGAAAAAGUUACCACAGGGAUAACAGCGUAAUCUUUCUGGAGAGAUCUUAUCGAAAGGAGGGUUUGCGACCUCGAUGUUGGACUAAGAUAUCCUGAGGGUGUAGAAAUUCUCGAAGGUUGGUCUGUUCGACCAUUAAAAUCUUACGUGAUCUGAGU